AGAGUUUGAUCCUGGCUCAGGAUGAACGCUGGCGGCGUGCUUAACACAUGCAAGUCGAACGGGAUCCAUCAGGCUUUGCUUGGUGGUGAGAGUGGCGAACGGGUGAGUAAUGCGUGACCGACCUGCCCCAUACACCGGAAUAGCUCCUGGAAACGGGUGGUAAUGCCGGAUGCUCCGACUCCUCGCAUGGGGUGUCGGGAAAGAUUUCAUCGGUAUGGGAUGGGGUCGCGUCCUAUCAGGUAGUCGGCGGGGUAACGGCCCACCGAGCCUACGACGGGUAGCCGGCCUGAGAGGGCGACCGGCCACAUUGGGACUGAGAUACGGCCCAGACUCCUACGGGAGGCAGCAGUGGGGAAUAUUGCACAAUGGGCGCAAGCCUGAUGCAGCGACGCCGCGUGCGGGAUGACGGCCUUCGGGUUGUAAACCGCUUUUGAUCGGGAGCAAGCCUUCGGGUGAGUGUACCUUUCGAAUAAGCACCGGCUAACUACGUGCCAGCAGCCGCGGUAAUACGUAGGGUGCAAGCGUUAUCCGGAAUUAUUGGGCGUAAAGGGCUCGUAGGCGGUUCGUCGCGUCCGGUGUGAAAGUCCAUCGCUUAACGGUGGAUCUGCGCCGGGUACGGGCGGGCUGGAGUGCGGUAGGGGAGACUGGAAUUCCCGGUGUAACGGUGGAAUGUGUAGAUAUCGGGAAGAACACCAAUGGCGAAGGCAGGUCUCUGGGCCGUUACUGACGCUGAGGAGCGAAAGCGUGGGGAGCGAACAGGAUUAGAUACCCUGGUAGUCCACGCCGUAAACGGUGGAUGCUGGAUGUGGGGCCCGUUCCACGGGUUCCGUGUCGGAGCUAACGCGUUAAGCAUCCCGCCUGGGGAGUACGGCCGCAAGGCUAAAACUCAAAGAAAUUGACGGGGGCCCGCACAAGCGGCGGAGCAUGCGGAUUAAUUCGAUGCAACGCGAAGAACCUUACCUGGGCUUGACAUGUUCCCGACAGCCGUAGAGAUAUGGCCUCCCUUCGGGGCGGGUUCACAGGUGGUGCAUGGUCGUCGUCAGCUCGUGUCGUGAGAUGUUGGGUUAAGUCCCGCAACGAGCGCAACCCUCGCCCUGUGUUGCCAGCACGUCAUGGUGGGAACUCACGGGGGACCGCCGGGGUCAACUCGGAGGAAGGUGGGGAUGACGUCAGAUCAUCAUGCCCCUUACGUCCAGGGCUUCACGCAUGCUACAAUGGCCGGUACAACGGGAUGCGACACGGCGACGUGGAGCGGAUCCCUGAAAACCGGUCUCAGUUCGGAUUGGAGUCUGCAACCCGACUCCAUGAAGGCGGAGUCGCUAGUAAUCGCGGAUCAGCAACGCCGCGGUGAAUGCGUUCCCGGGCCUUGUACACACCGCCCGUCAAGUCAUGAAAGUGGGUAGCACCCGAAGCCGGUGGCCUAACCCUUUGUGGAUGGAGCCGUCUAAGGGGGGACUCGUGAUUGGGACUAAGUCGUAACAAGGUAGCC
rnacentral:rRNA from 1 species